GGGGAGCCAUUGCACGGCGCCCUAAAGAUGGCGCCGGCUCCUUUCUCCCGGAAGGACUGGCGAGAAACAAACAACUCCUAAUAAGGAGAUGGCUGAGCUCCCUUCCGGCUUCCGCAUUGCUGUACCUAUCAAUCCUUGCCACUUGGCUGCUUUUGAUUGGUGUGCUGAUGGCUAUAAGAGGGAUGGGAGAGGGAAGGAGGUGGAAGAAGAAGCUUGUUCAAGGUUCCUGAAUAAACUGCUUGAAGAAGAGUUCGGGUCGUGUCUUCCUUGCUGGUCGAGGGACGCGACAACUGGUGGCCCGUACGGGGAACCAUCUCAAACGCGAACUCAGAACUUCCUGCAGUCAGGGCAGCGCUGGUUUCGCAUUUUUCUAUUGCCAGUAUGAGUCUUGAUUGGAAAAACUGCACCAUGAAGCUGUUUACGUUAUAUCUUUAAUGUUUGAGUGAGUACCUAACUUUGAUCAGAUCUAGUCCACAGCCUUGGUUAAACGUACUAAUUUUUGACUAAAAUGGUUUGACUCUCUGAUAGUUUAAAUUCUAAACCGAGUCUUUCAACUUUGGGGCUUCCAGUCGGAUCCCUGGAACUCUCAAAGGAUGGGACUCUAAAUUUGUUAAAGUAACAGCUGUUUGAGUCAAUUCAAAUUAUACAAAGUGUAUUAAAAUGUAGUAAAUGAUGUCAAAUCUAUGUUGUAUUCAUGUUUUUGCUUUUCAGCUAAAGUAGUCUUAUAAAAAUGAGAGUAAAUUCUGUGUAUACAAGCCUUUAUGUUGUUAACUCAAGUAAGCCAAUACAGAUUGGUUCAGAAAAUUGGGUUAAUGCAAACGCCCUUUGGUUCACUUGCUCAGUUUUAUAUUUACAUGUCUUUGAUAUGCUUUAAACUUGUUUCUCUUAAGGAUGAAGAUCUUUUCAAAGUUGUAAAUAUGCACUAGUGACUGUUGCUGCCCAAGUGGUGUUAUCCUUCCUUAUGUUACUUAAAAGCAUGGAAAUGUAAUUUUGACUUUUAAUUCAGAUAAUGGUGUGGUAUUCAUUAAUAGCUCAGUGUUUUAAGUUAUCCAGGCAUCGGUGCUAAGUAAAAUAUGGAAAACGUAUUAUGUGUACUUUUAACAUCUUAAAUUUGAUAAGAGACUUUUAAGUUUGCCAGCAUGUAUUCUCAUAGGUUGUCCAUACAUGAUAAUUCAAGACUGUAAAAGUAACUACAGGUAUAAAGUUUCAGAAGGUGUGAGCAAGUCAUGAAAAGUUGUAAAAAGUUUACGAUUUUAAAACAUUGUUUACAGAGUUUUCUAUAAGUUAAAUGUUAAUGCCAAAAUUACACUAACCUAAAGUUGAAGUCUGAUCUUCUGUUAUAACAAUGGGAUUUUUUAAAAUGUGUACUAAUGUUAUUAAUUAUCUGGAAAUGGUCUCAAUUGUAAAUCUUAAAAUCUGUUGUUGCAAAAACUGUAACGUCUCUUUUUAACAGUGUCUGCUUAAUCAGUUACUCUGCCAUUUCUAAAGUUAGGUCGUGUAAGCUCUUUUUAACUCUGUUAAAUAGUUCUGAGUUAUGUGAUAAUUUCAUGUGCUAACUCUUAUGUUCAAGGUUUUUGUAUUUCUGGUUUACCUAAAAAUUCAUGUUCUGCCAAGUAAAUGUGUACUCUACUGUCUGUUAAGUUAUGAUUGAUAAAAAGUAUUAAGUCUUAAAAAGUUAUGUUAAAUAUUAUGAUCAGAUCUGGUCUAAAAGUGUUAAAAUCACCCUGACUAAAUGUUAAGGAAUUCUAUUUUGACCAGAUACUCUAAGUUCUCUUGGCACCUUUAACAGACUUUCUGAAAAUCAAAGUUCUAAAUUCUCUGGACUUUUGGUAUCUCCAGAGGGCCCCUGGAGAUGUCAAAAGAUAUAUCUCUCAUCUUGCAGAGAUAAUAACCAAUCGGGCUGUUUAGAUUAAAAGUGGUGCCAAGAUGUGAAAUGAUGCUAAACUUCAGCUAUAAACAUGUUUCUUUCUAGCUGCUCCAGUCUCUGGCUCAGAAGCCAGAUCCUUUAAAGAGGGACUGACAAAGUCUAAGAAGCAUCCCAUGGUCAUGAUUUGCAUCACCUCAAUGUCCAAACCUUAAGCUUUGGCAGAUGGAUGUUACCCAUUUUUCUGAAUUUGGUAAACUAAAAUACAUACAUGUUUCUUUAGAUACAUGUUCAGGUUUUGUUUUUGCCACCCCACAAUGCGGCGAGGCUGCCAAACAUCUCUCAUUGCCUUCAGGCCUUUGCUGUUCUAGGAACCCCUAUACAGAUAAAAACUAAUAAUGGCCCAGCGUAUACUUCCAACUCUUUAAAGCACUUCUGUACUAACUUCCACAUCUCUCAUCACCGGGAUUCUUUAUAAUCCCCAGGGACAAGGUAUUGUGGAACGAGCACAUGCCACAUUAAAAAAUUAUUUACAAAAAAUAAAAAAGGGGGAAUACGGGACCAUGGCAUAUUCCCCACAAAAAUGGCUAUCACAUGCUCUUUUCAUUUUAAAUUUUCUAAUACUGGAUAAUCAAGGGAAAUCUGCAGCUCAUCGUCACUGGCAUCCUGAAACCAAAAGACAACAAGUCUAUGUGAAGUGGAAAGACCCUCUAACUUCUCAAUGGUAUGGACCUGACCCUGUUUUAAUAUGGGGACGUGGACAUGUUUCUAUAUUCUCGAUGGUUACCUGAGCGACUGGUGCGGCAAACAGACAAUGUCACAAAGCAGCCUCUCUAUCUUCAUUAUAACAUUGCUGAUUGGGAUCGUUACUGCAGCCUUUAUAACCGCCAUUUCCAUUGCAGCUGUGGGCACUACAACAGCUGCUAUAGCGCUCACAGGGACAGUUCAAACUGCUAAUACCCUGAAUAAUUUGACGGCCUCCGUGGCUGCUGCUUUGGAUACUCAGACAUCCUUAAAUGUACAUAUAAAGGGAGGUUUGAUGAUUGUUAAUCAGCGUGUGGAUUUGGUACAGGAGCAGGUGGAUACUCUCUGGCAGCUUGCUCAGCUAGGAUGUGAGUGGAAAUUUUCAGGGUUGUGUGUGACCUCUGUUCAGUACAAUAACAUGACUCAGGCAGCAAAUUACUCUAAACAGUUGUCUCAGAUGCUCUUGCAGAAUUGGUCCACAGAAUUUGACUACACCUUGAAGCAACUGCGCCUUGCCGUGGUCACCAUCAACUCCACACGUGUGGAUGUCUCCUUCACAUCUGGAUUGUCAUCCUGGAUCCGCACAGCUGUCUCCAACCUGAAGGAGUGGGUGGGACUUGGAGCUUUGACGGGGUUGCUGUUACUUGUUGUGUUAUUUUGCCUGUGGUGUUUGUGCAGGAUGAGGACAGCUCAUUGGCGGGAAUUGGCCAUGAUAGCUCAAGACUUUUAUGCCCUUGAGGCUGGACAAUCACCGCAAGCAUAGCUGGCCUUCCUUGAAUGCUAGGCAUAGGUGCAGGGUGCGAGGCAAAGCACUGCAGAGAGAACGAGCCAUUAUGUUCUCUGGAAGGCAAGUCUGUCUGCAUGUGGGUUGGCAUCCCAGAUCCCACCCCCGCGAAAAGGAUGCUGUUCCAGGUGGAUGCCUGGCAGUGGGGGACAGACCCCUACCUUCUCCUGUAAUCCUUAGAUGCCUGGUUCUAAAACAAAAAGGGGGAACUGUGGGGAGCCAUUGCACGGCGCCCUAAAGAUGGCGCCGGCUCCUUUCUCCCGGAAGGACUGGCGAGAAACAAACAACUCCUAAUAAGGAGAUGGCUGAGCUCCCUUCCGGCUUCCGCAUUGCUGUACCUAUCAAUCCUUGCCACUUGGCUGCUUUUGAUUGGUGUGCUGAUGGCUAUAAGAGGGAUGGGAGAGGGAAGGAGGGGGAAGAAGAAGCUUGUUCAAGGUUCCUGAAUAAACUGCUUGAAGAA